rnacentral:rRNA from 1 species
AUGAAUGAAGCACUAACUAAACCGUUCACUGAAGCUGAAGUAAGUGACGCCCUAUUUCAGAUCGGGCCGCUGAAGGCGCUAGGCCCGGAUGGGUUCCCGUCUCAAUUCUUUCAACGCAACUGGGCUGUACUAAAAGAAGAUGUAAUCCAAGGGGUCCUCAAUUUCUUCGCUGAUCGUAUAAUGCCUGAAGGAGUAAAUGAGACAACCAUUGUCCUGAUUCCAAAAGGAACUGAACCACAAGGCAUUAAAGAUUACCACCCAAUCAGCCUUUGCAACGUCAUCUACAAGGUCAUCUCAAAGGACUUGGUCAACAGGCUACGCCCCUUCUUGGAUGACAUUACAUCAAAAUCGCAGAGUGCCUUUGUCCCAGGCAGAAUGAUAAUGGACAAUACGAUUAUUGCUUUCGAGUGCUUCCACAAGAUCAGCCAUAGCAAGAACAGGAGGGACACACACUGUGCGUACAAGCUUGACCUGGCAAAAGCAUAUGAUCAGGUUGAUUGGGGUUUCCUUGAAGGUGUACUACGCAAACUUGGUUUUGCGAGAAAUGGACUAAGUGGGUGA